rnacentral:rRNA from 1 species
GACGAACGCUGGCGGCGUGCUUAACACAUGCAAGUCGAACGGAAAGGCCCUGCUUUUGUGGGGUGCUCGAGUGGCGAACGGGUGAGUAACACGUGAGUAACCUGCCCUUGACUUUGGGAUAACUUCAGGAAACUGGGGCUAAUACCGGAUAGGAGCUCCUGCUGCAUGGUGGGGGUUGGAAAGUUUCGGCGGUUGGGGAUGGACUCGCGGCUUAUCAGCUUGUUGGUGGGGUAGUGGCUUACCAAGGCUUUGACGGGUAGCCGGCCUGAGAGGGUGACCGGCCACAUUGGUACUGAGAUACGGCCCAGACUCCUACGGGCGGCAGCAGUGGGGAAUAUUGCACAAUGGGCCGAAGCCUGAUGCAGCAACGCCGCGUGCGGGAUGACGGCCUUCGGGUUGUAAACCGCUUUCGCCUGUGACGAAGCGUGAGUGACGGUAAUGGGUAAAGAAGCACCGGCUAACUACGUG